ensembl:lncRNA
GUGCUUGACCUGCAACCAAAACGCAAUGAAUUUACAGAGAGGCAAUUAUAUGGAAGCAAUACAGCAUUUCUUCAGGUUGAUGUGUGGAGUUAUCAAAUCCCAGUGGUCAUGUUCUGUGUCUGUCUUCUGCUGGUCUUUUUACUGAUUGUGGGCAUUUACUGGCUGAUCAGAAAACAAGGGGCUGGGAAUCUGUGUUGUAGAAGAACACCACCAAAUGAUGUUCCAUUAUCAGAUGAGAGGGAAAGUAACAUUUCAAACAUGGAGGAAGAAUCCUGGGGUGAAUUUUCCGGUGUGGCAGGUUACUGCCAUAUUGUAAUCCCCCAAAUAGAAACAACAAUGCAACCUUUAGAGGAAGAUGCCACUUACCAAGAAAUUGUGGAUUUAACACAGACCAAUAAUAUGUUAGAAGUCCCAGGGCAAGGUGAGUUCAGUGUUUUAAACUAUAUUUUCCACUGUUAGCUUAUUUAAAGGUGCCUUAUGCAACUUAACAACACCUAUCGGCAGUGAGUUGUAUAUCGGUUCUAUAACUCCAUUAGGAUCUGACAUUGUCAUUACAAACUAUGAGCAUACUGAGCUGUUUGAAGCAGUGUCACUUCCAACCACCGAUGUUGGAACAAUGAACACAGACUUUCGUUUCAAAUGGGGUUAAAGUUGAUGGGCCCUUUCCAUAACUACGGACACAGAAUAAACUAAGUAAACAGCUAAAUCAAUCAAAACAUAAUCUGGGCUAUCUAUUGCGUUAGAUGCAUUGCCAUAAUUCGGAGACUCGUUGAUGGCUAUCCAGCAAACAUGAAACUCU